rnacentral:lncRNA from 1 species
GAGAGAACUCCGGUGACGUAUUCAGUGAAAAUAAGCUAGUCUCCCACGCCAACUUUCACCAUAAUCCGAAUAUGACCUGACAGUGACCUUCAUCACAUAUUCACGAAAUAAGUUUUUCUAAUGAAUUCAAAUUAGGUUGAACAUUAUUCGAAUGAACUUGUUAUGAAAUUACUCUAAUAUCACUGCUCCAAUGAAUCGGAAUCUGUGUGUUGC